CCUACGGGGGGCAGCAGUGGGGAAUAUUGGACAAUGGGGGCAACCCUGAUCCAGCCAUGCCGCGUGUGUGAAGAAGGCCCUCGGGUUGUAAAGCACUUUCAGUGAGGAAGAACGCCUGGUGGUUAAUACCCAUCAGGAAAGACAUCACUCACAGAAGAAGCACCGGCUAACUCCGUGCCAGCAGCCGCGGUAAUACGGAGGGUGCGAGCGUUAAUCGGAAUUACUGGGCGUAAAGCGCGCGUAGGUGGCUUGAUAAGCCGGUUGUGAAAGCCCCGGGCGCAACCUGGGAAUGGCAUCCGGAACUGUCAAGCUAGAGUGCAGGAGAGGAAGGUAGAAUUCCCGGUGUAGCGGUGAAAUGCGUAGAGAUCGGGAGGAAUACCAGUGGCGAAGGCGGCCUUCUGGACUGACACUGACACUGAGGUGCGAAAGCGUGGGUAGCAAACAGGAUUAGAUACCCUUGUAGUC
rnacentral:rRNA from 1 species